rnacentral:misc_RNA from 1 species
AUGCGAUAAGUAAUGUGAAUUGCAGAAUUCAGUGAAUCAUCGAAUCUUUGAACGCACAUUGCGCCCCCUGGUAUUCCGGGGGGCAUGCCUGUCCGAGCGUCAUUACAACCCUCAAGCUCAGCUUGGUGUUGGGCCCCGCCGCCCCGGCGGGCCCUAAAGUCAGUGGCGGUGCCGUCCGGCUCCGAGCGUAGUAAUUCUUCUCGCUCUGGAGGUCCGGUCGUGUGCUCGCCAGCAACCCCCAAUUUUUUUCAGGUUGACCUCGGAUCAGGUAGGGAUACCCGCUGAACUUAA